rnacentral:rRNA from 1 species
CAGCCGCCGCGGUAAUACAGAGGAUUUAAGCGUUAUCCGGAAUGAUUGGGCGUAAAGCGUGCGCAGGCGGUUAUAUAAGACAGAUGUGAAAUCCCCGGGCUCAACCUGGGACCUGCAUUUGUGACUGUAUAGCUAGAGUACGGUAGAGGGGGAUGGAAUUCCGCGUGUAGCAGUGAAAUGCGUAGAUAUGCGGAGGAACACCGAUGGCGAAGGCAAUCCCCUGGACCUGUACUGACGCUCAUGCACGAAAGCGUGGGGAGCAAACAGGAUUAGAUACCCCUGUAGUCCCUGUCUCUUAUAC